CUUUUCUGGCGUAGAGGGGUGAGGAGGGUGCGGGACACGUGGGUUAGGGGAGGAGGAGGAGGGAGUGCUUGGGAUCGGCGGAGGUACAAGCGAAGGAGGAGGAGGAGGAGGAGGUAGGAGGGCGCGGUCAGCGCGGGAGGGAGAGGACGUAGAGAAGGUGGGGCUCUAGGCUCCACACGUCCGCGCCUCCGCGCGAAGGGACCGCCGUCGCCGUUGGAUGUCCGUUUCCCGCUGCCGCCUGGUUUCCCGCUGUCGCCGCUGGAGCCAAGCUAGACACCCUCUCUCUUAUACUCUCCCUCUUCUUCUUUCCUCUCCUACCUCUUUCUCUCUCCUUUAUCCUCUUCCUCCGCUGCAGCUUACCCUCUCCCAGUCACGCCACCGCGUCGCCUGCCGCCGAGCACGACACCACGCCGCGGCAGCAGGUGCACGAGGAGGACUUCGAGGAGGAGAGGUGGUGCCCACCUACGGACCACUCCGGUCGCAGGGGAGGUGUGAGUCCACGAGGGGGCGAAGGGACACAGGGGAAACAGAGAAGGGGACUGGGAGAGAAAGACAGUGUGUACCUCUCUUGGCACCACCGUCGUGUAGUCUAAAACGAUGCUUUAUGUUGAAUCAAGACUUUUAUUCUUUGUUUCGACUAAUUUAGGGGAUACGUAGACAACAAACAAACGACUAAAUGACCCAUCUAGAACUUGACCUGCUGUGUUUCCUCCACCGUAAUCAUCAGUACCUCUAGGAGCACAAGACUUGUAGUUAAUCAAGGUACCCCGAUUUACUAUGACAUUAGACCGAAAGCACCGGAUAUAUAUCAUAAAUCAUUUAUUCAGACAAGGUAUAGGGUAAUUAUACUUACGUCGAGCAGUUUGACAAGGGUAACCAGCAGAUAAACUAGAAUAAUAAAUCCAUAAUAUCCUUUCAUUCAUACAUGAGGUAACUCGUUCGAGAAAGAUAGAUACACUAAAUAAAAAGACACCAACUACUUAUGUCAUCCUCGGACCUAGAAAAUUGGUGUCUCUACCACGUAUUUAUUCUUUUUGUUAUUCACGUGAUUACGAAAAAACCUUAAGGUAACCAAAAGACCUUUAAAACCACUUUCGUUCUAAAUUCUGUCUCUCCAAGUACACGAUCCGGUAGCUGUGUGGAGAGAAGUUCCAGGGCUCAGCCAAUUACAACUAAAACGAGUACGUGUUGGGUAGUAUCCUCAGUCAUCCUAGUAGAAGUUACCCACAUACCUGACGUUAUCAAUAGGCCAAAUUCCACACCACCUACCGCGUGUUCUACUUCCUGUUCCCGCCGUCGUCGGGUGUACUCUGUGUUGAGGACGACCACCUCACUUCCGGGGCCCCGGACGUCGCUGCUCCUCCUUCUGUGCAGCAUCCUUUGAUUCGACCUACCACUCUUACGACUACAACACCAAUGACCUCUACUCUUGCACGUCGGACUGGUUUGGUUCGGAUUCUCGACACAGGGAGUGGAGGACAACUCGUACAAAACCAACGUGACCAAUCAACAAUUUCCGAAUCGUCAUGGUUGGUACCGCGACCACGGCGCCUGAGGGGCGACACGCGGCAGAGUGGCGAGCAGGGAAGACCGAUGUGGAGGGGUACAGUACGACGUCAAAUAGGGAACAGCUUCAAGAAGACACUAAGUAGAGUAUGCGUAGCAACCGACAAGAGAAAGCCGAAAAGUUCACCCGAUUCCAACUGGCGAAAGUCCCCAUACAGUUCCACAUCCACGUCUGAGUAACAACUACAACUUAUGACCUCAUUCUUACUACUAGUUACGAGACUGGCACGGCGACCUCUAUUACCACGCUCGAGCUGGUCAAGUACCCAGGGAGUCGAUGAAUACGAAACGAUCUGUUACUCUCAUACAUCUGUCGUACAUACAAAGAUGUAACAAGACGCGUCCAACUCUACGUAGUGUACUACAAAAAGAAAAUGUAAAUACUCAUAAUGUCUCAGGAAAGAAAAAGGUAUUCCCCGUCAUCGACACGGUAAACUAAUCCUCCUGUUUCUCAACUAGUGUUUCCCCAUCGUAAGUGCUAUAUAUGCGU
rnacentral:rRNA from 1 species